rnacentral:rRNA from 1 species
GUGCCAGCAGCCGCGGUAAUACGUAGGGUGCAAGCGUUAAUCGGAAUUACUGGGCGUAAAGCGUGCGCAGGCGGUUUUGUAAGACAGUGGUGAAAUCCCCGGGCUCAACCUGGGAACUGCCAUUGUGACUGCAAGGCUAGAGUGCGGCAGAGGGGGAUGGAAUUCCGCGUGUAGCAGUGAAAUGCGUAGAUAUGCGGAGGAACACCGAUGGCGAAGGCAAUCCCCUGGGCCUGCACUGACGCUCAUGCACGAAAGCGUGGGGAGCAAACAGGA